rnacentral:rRNA from 1 species
GGGUUGUGAGGUUAAGCGAAUAAGCGUACACGGUGGAUGCCUAGGCAAUCAGAGGCGAUGAAGGACGUGCUAAUCUGCGAAAAGCGUCGGUAAGGUGAUAUGAACCGUUAUACCCGACGAUAUCCGAAUGGGGAAACCCAGUAUCCAAUGGAUACUAUCAUUAACUGAAUCCAUAGGUUAAUGAGGCGAACCGGGAGAACUGAAACAUCUCAGUACCCCGAGGAAAAGAAAUCAACCGAGAUUCCCCUAGUAGCGGCGAGCGAACGGGGAGCAGCCCAGAGUCUUAAUCAAUAGCAGUGUCAGGAGAACGGUCUGGAAAGUCCGGCAGUAAAGGGUGAUAGCCCCGUAUCUGAAGAUGCUGUUAUUGUGAACUCGACGAGUAGGGCGGGACACGUGUUAUCCUGUCUGAAUAUGGGGGGACCAUCCUCCAAGGCUAAAUACUCCUGAUUGACCGAUAGUGAACCAGUACCGUGAGGGAAAGGCGAAAAGAACCCCGGCGAGGGGAGUGAAAAAGAACCUGAAACCGUGUACGUACAAGCAGUAGGAGCCUCUUUAUGGGGUGACUGCGUACCUUUUGUAUAAUGGGUCAGCGACUUAUAUUCUGUAGCGAGGUUAACCGUAUAGGGGAGCCGUAGGGAAACCGAGUCUUAACUGGGCGAAUGAGUUGCAGGGUAUAGACCCGAAACCCGGUGAUCUAUCCAUGGGCAGGUUGAAGGUUGGGUAACACUAACUGGAGGACCGAACCGACUAAUGUUGAAAAAUUAGCGGAUGACUUGUGGAUAGGGGUGAAAGGCCAAUCAAACCGGGAGAUAGCUGGUUCUCCCCGAAAGCUAUUUAGGUAGCGCCUCGUGAACUCAUCUUCGGGGGUAGAGCACUGUUUCGACUAGGGGGUCAUCCCGACUUACCAACUCGAUGCAAACUGCGAAUACCGAAGAAUGUUAUCACGGGAGACACACGGCGGGUGCUAACGUCCGUCGUGAAGAGGGAAACAACCCAGACCGCCAGCUAAGGUCCCAAAGUCAUGGUUAAGUGGGAAACGAAGUGGGAAGGCUCAGACAGCCAGGAUGUUGGCUUAGAAGCAGCCAUCAUUUAAAGAAAGCGUAAUAGCUCACUGGUCGAGUCGGCCCGCGCGGAAGAUGUAACGGGGCUAAACCAUGCACCGAAGCUGCGGCAGCGACACAAAGUGUUGUUGGGUAGGGGAGCGUUCUGUAAGCCUGCGAAGGUGUACUGUGAGGUAUGCUGGAGGUAUCAGAAGUGCGAAUGCUGACAUAAGUAACGAUAAUGCGGGUGAAAAACCCGCACGCCGGAAGACCAAGGGUUCCUGUCCAACGUUAAUCGGGGCAGGGUGAGUCGACCCCUAAGGCGAGGCUGAAAAGCGUAGUCGAUGGGAAACGGGUUAAUAUUCCCGUACUGGUGGUAACUGCGAUGGGGGAACGGAGAAGGCUAGGUUGUCCGGGCGACGGUCGUCCCGGUUCAAGCAGGUAGGCAGAGUGAUUAGGCAAAUCCGGUCACUUAAUGCUGAGAUGUGAUGACGAACCACCAAGGUGGUGAAGCAAUUGAUGCCCCGCUUCCAGGAAAAGCCUCUAAGCUUCAGGUUACCAACAAUCGUACCCCAAACCGACACAGGUGGUCAGGUAGAGAAUACUCAGGCGCUUGAGAGAACUCGGGUGAAGGAACUAGGCAAAAUGGUGCCGUAACUUCGGGAGAAGGCACGCUGGCGGUAGGUAAAGUCCCUCGCGGACGGCGCUGAAGCCAGUCGAAGAUACCAGCUGGCUGCAACUGUUUAUUAAAAACACAGCACUGUGCAAACACGAAAGUGGACGUAUACGGUGUGACGCCUGCCCGGUGCUGGAAGGUUAAUUGAUGGGGUUAGCCGUAAGGCGAAGCUCCUGAUCGAAGCCCCAGUAAACGGCGGCCGUAACUAUAACGGUCCUAAGGUAGCGAAAUUCCUUGUCGGGUAAGUUCCGACCUGCACGAAUGGCGUAAUGAUGGCCAGGCUGUCUCCACCCGAGACUCAGUGAAAUUGAACUCGCUGUGAAGAUGCAGUGUACCCGCGGCAAGACGGAAAGACCCCGUGAACCUUUACUAUAGCUUGACACUGAACAUUGAGCCUUGAUGUGUAGGAUAGGUGGGAGGCUUUGAAGUGUGGACGCCAGUCUGCAUGGAGCCAACCUUGAAAUACCACCCUUUAACGUUUGAUGUUCUAACCUAGGCCCAUAAACUGGGUCGGGGACCGUGUCUGGUGGGUAGUUUGACUGGGGCGGUCUCCUCCUAAAGAGUAACGGAGGAGCACGAAGGUUGGCUAAGCAUGGUCGGACAUCAUGCGGUUAGUGCAAAGGCAUAAGCCAGCUUGACUGCGAGAGUGACGGCUCGAGCAGGUACGAAAGUAGGUCUUAGUGAUCCGGUGGUUCUGAAUGGAAGGGCCAUCGCUCAACGGAUAAAAGGUACUCCGGGGAUAACAGGCUGAUACCGCCCAAGAGUUCAUAUCGACGGCGGUGUUUGGCACCUCGAUGUCGGCUCAUCACAUCCUGGGGCUGAAGUAGGUCCCAAGGGUAUGGCUGUUCGCCAUUUAAAGUGGUACGCGAGCUGGGUUUAGAACGUCGUGAGACAGUUCGGUCCCUAUCUGCCGUGGGCGUUGGAAGAUUGAGAGGGGUUGCUCCUAGUACGAGAGGACCGGAGUGAACGCACCACUGGUGUUCGGGUUGUCAUGCCAAUGGCAUUGCCCGGUAGCUAAGUGCGGAAGAGAUAACCGCUGAAAGCAUCUAAGCGGGAAACUUGCCUCGAGAUGAGUCUUCCCUGUCGCUUUAAGCGACCUAAAGGAACGUUUAAGACUAAGACGUUGAUAGGCUGGGUGUGUAAGCGUAGCGAUACGUUGAGCUAACCAGUACUAAUGAACCGUGAGGCUUAACCUGACAACACCGAAAGUGUUUUG